CCUUCGGUCGGAGGCCGAGAAGGCGGCCGAGAAGGCAGCUCAGGAAGAGCGCCUGCUCGAUCUAAAUCGGCGACUAGCCGACAAGGAUCGGGAGAAGAAAGAUCUGGAGGAGGAGAUUGGGCGCCUCCGAGAGGAAAGGGAGCGGCUCGACCAGGAGCAUACCGGUGCGCUGGAGGCCGAGCGCCAGGCUGGCGAGGAGCUGAAGAACAAGAGUCGGGAGUUGGCUGUGCUUAAAGUCAACACUAAGAAGCACCUCGACGAGCUGGUCAAGGAUCGGGACUCCUGGAAGACCAACUGUAUCAAAAUCUGGAAAGGAGUAGCCCCGGUGCUCGACUUGAUCAGCUCCGAGCUCCCUGAGGACCAGCCCCGCGCACCGAGACUGACCCCGGUCGAAAAGGCGCAACAGGCAUGGGUUGGCUUCAGCAGUUCAUCAAGGACGCCGGGGAGUUCGCCGGAGCACACGUCCUCAGCAUGGUACGUGCCCACUACCCCAUGAUCGACUUGUCCCGGCUGGAGAGGGGAUAUCCCAAGGAGGUUGGUCCGCAGGAGGCAGAUGACCUUCGUGUCGGCAUGCUCGAUCUGUCGUCGAUAGUGAUCGGCGACAUAAAUCUCUGUGGGACAUCAAGUCCCCUCAACCAGCCCAGAUCAGAUAGGUCAGCCAGGGAGUUGUCAGGGGCUUCCAUUGCAGGAGAUGGGCGGUCGACGCCUGCGGCCUCGACCAGCCAGACGCCGGUGGCCCCGACCCCUUCGGCGGGACAGGAGAGCCGUGCGGGUGAUCAGUCCGAACAGUAGGUCUGUAAAGUAGUCUAUAGGAGUAGACUAGAGACCGAC